rnacentral:rRNA from 1 species
AGAGUUUGAUCCUGGCUCAGGAUGAACGCUAGCGGGAGGCCUAAUACAUGCAAGUCGAGCGGUAGAGUGACUUCGGUUGCUUGAGAGCGGCGCACGGGUGAGUAACGCGUACAUGACCUACCUUUAAGACUGGGAUAGCCCUGGGAAACUGGGAUUAAUACCGGAUGUGAUAAUACGUAUAGAGAUGUAUUAUUAAAGUUGAGGCGCUUAGAGAUGGAUGUGCGUCUGAUUAGCUAGUUGGUAGGGUAACGGCCUACCAAGGCGACGAUCAGUAGGGGGCGUGAGAGCGUGGCCCCCCACACGGGUACUGAGACACGGACCCGACUCCUACGGGAGGCAGCAGUAAGGAAUAUUGGUCAAUGCCCGGAAGGGUGAACCAGCCAUGCCGCGUGAAGGAUGACUGCCCUCUGGGUUGUAAACUUCUUUUGGAUGGGACGAAAAAACGGGAUUUAUCCUGGACUGACGGUACCAUCAGAAUAAGCACCGGCUAACUCCGUGCCAGCAGCCGCGGUAAUACGGAGGGUGCGAGCGUUAUCCGGAAUUACUGGGUUUAAAGGGUGCGUAGGCGGAUGAUUAAGUCUAAGGUGAAAGUUUGUCGCUUAACGAUAAAAUUGCCUUGGAUACUGGUUAUCUUGAAUAAGGAUGAGGAUGGCGGAAUGUGGCAUGUAGCGGUGAAAUGCAUAGAUAUGCCAUAGAACACCAAUUGCGAAGGCAGCUAUCUGGUCUUUUAUUGACGCUGAGGCACGAAAGCGUGGGGAUCGAACAGGAUUAGAUACCCUGGUAGUCCACGCCCUAAACGAUGCUAACUCGAUG